GAUGAACGCUGGCGGCGUGCCUAAUACAUGCAAGUCGAGCGAACAGACGAGGAGCUUGCUCCUCUGACGUUAGCGGCGGACGGGUGAGUAACACGUGGAUAACCUACCUAUAAGACUGGGAUAACUUCGGGAAACCGGAGCUAAUACCGGAUAAUAUAUUGAACCGCAUGGUUCAAUAGUGAAAGACGGUUUUGCUGUCACUUAUAGAUGGAUCCGCGCCGCAUUAGCUAGUUGGUAAGAUAACGGCUUACCAAGUCAACGAUGCGUAGCCGACCUGAGAGGGUGAUCGGCCACACUGGAACUGAGACACGGUCCAGACUCCUACGGGAGGCAGCAGUAGGGAAUCUUCCGCAAUGGGCGAAAGCCUGACGGAGCAACGCCGCGUGAGUGAUGAAGGUCUUCGGAUCGUAAAACUCUGUUAUUGGGGAAGAACAAAUGUGUAAGUAACUAUGCACGUCUUGACGGUACCUAAUCAGAAAGCCACGGCUAACUACGUG
rnacentral:rRNA from 1 species